GACGAACCGUGCGAACGUUAUUCGGAAUCAUUGGGCUUAAAGCGCGUGUAGGCGGAUGGGAACGUCGGUCGUUGAAAGCCCCCGGCUCAACCGGGGAAUUGGCACCGAAACGACCCGUCUGGAGGGGCAUAGGGGGAUCUGGAACUUCCGGUGGAGCGGUGAAAUGCGUUGAGAUCGGAAGGAACGCCCGUGGCGAAAGCGAGAUCCUGGAUGUCUUCUGACGCUGAGACGCGAAAGCUAGGGUAGCGAACGGG
rnacentral:rRNA from 1 species